AGUGAACGCUGGCGGCGUGCCUAAUCCAUGCAAGUCGAACGAAGUGGCGCACGGGUGAGUAAUAUAUUGUUAAUCUGCCCUACCCAGAGGAACAACAGUUGGAAACGACUGCUAAUACCUCAUAGUUUAGGAUGAGACUAUAUCGUAUCAGCUAGUUGGUAAGGUAAUGGCUUACCAACGCUAUGACGCGUCACUGGUCUGAGAGGAUGAUCAGUCACAUUGGAACUGAGACACGGUCCAAACGCCUACGGGAGGCAGCAGUAAGGAAUAUUGCGCAAUGGGGGAAACCCUGACGCAGCAACGCCGCGUGGAGGAUGACACUUUUCGGAGCGUAAACUCCUUUUAUCAGGAAAGCGGUACCUGAUGAAUAAGCAACGGCUAAAGACGAGCCAGCAGCCGCGGUAAUUC
rnacentral:rRNA from 1 species